CCUUUAGGAAGUUUUGGACCAUACUGUGUGUAUAACUGUUCUGGAAAUUGUUUGGGUGACGUUGCUUGUAACAGAACGACCGGAAAGUGUGACACUGGCUGCGACAUUGGAUACACUGGAAAUUUGUGUGACAAUGCUUGUGAAAUCGAAAAACUUGGUAAAGGUUGCAGCAAUCGAUGCAGUGGACACUGUGUAGAGAACUUUCCUUGCAAUUCAACAACUGGACACUGUGAUCGUGGAUGUGCUUCAGGAUAUGUAGAGCCUUUUUGCAAUAAAAGUUGUGACAUUGGAAAGUAUGGUAUAGGUUGCAGCCAUAAGUGCAGUGGACACUGCCUAAAUAACGUUCCCUGCAAUUCAACAAAUGGACACUGUGAUGGAGGGUGUGCUUCAGGAUAUGUAGAGCCUUUUUGCAACAAAGUUUAGUAAAUGACCGGAGAAUUAGUUAUGUUACGAGUUUUUGUAUAAAUUUCUAUCGACAAUGUUUUUCAUUUAAUAUGUCUUGUAAAAUCAAUACUGUUCAUAACCUUUCUAUUUUCGCUUUUUUCGGAGAAAGAUUAUGAAAAAACAGUAAAACUUGUAAAUCAAUUUAUUUACACUUUGUGUAUAUAUAUAUAGAUAUGACUUACAUAAUUAUGUAUGCAUAAAUAUAUCUGGUUGUAAAAUAUGAUUUAUUGUAUUUAAUCAUCAUUAUAUUCGUUUAAUUUAAUGUACAAUAUAUGCAUAUCUAUAAAACACUGAGAAACUACAUGUUUACAUAUACAGUAUAUUUGUAAAAUUUGUUAAAAUUAAUGUAUUACCAGUAUCUACUUUUUGAAUGUGUAUUCAUAAAAAUUAUUCACAAG